rnacentral:rRNA from 1 species
GGUAUUUUGACCGUGCAAAGGUAGCAUAAUCAUUAGUUUUUUAAUUGAAAGCUGGAAUGAAAGGUUGGAUGAAAAAUAAGCUGUCUCUAUUUAAUUUUAUUAGAACUUUAUUUUUAAGUAAAAAAGCUUAAAUUUUGAUAGAAGACGAGAAGACCCUAUAGAGUUUUACUUAUUUUUUAAAUAAGAUUAAUAGUAUUAAUUAUUUUUAUUUAAAAAAUGAAUUUAGUUGGGGUGAUUGAAAAAUUUAAUAAACUUUUUUUAUAUAUAUACAUUAAUAUAUGAUUAAUUGAUCCUUAAUUUAAGAUUAAAAGAUAAAAUUACCUUAGGGAUAACAGCGUAAUUUUUUUUGAGAGUUCUAAUCGAAAGAAAAGAUUGCGACCUCGAUGUUGGAUUAAAAUAAAAUUUUGGUGCAGAAGCUAAAA